UGAGUAGUAUUAGUUAUGUUCUUGAAACUUAAAGAAUUUGGCGGUAUCUUAUUCCGUUCAGAGGAAUCUGUCUCGUUAUCGAUAGUCCACGUUGGACCUUACUUAGUUGCUAUGGUUUGUAUACCGCCGUUUAUUGAUUAUCUUUUUAGUGUUUUUUGAAUUUUCUGGUUUCUUGGUUUAGAUUUAUUUCAGGUCAAGGUGCAGCUUGUUUCUAAGUGUUAUGAUGGAUUACAUUGUUAUUGGUUAUCGGAUUGUUGGAUUCAAUUUCUGGCAUGAAGUUGGAUUUGAUUGUAAUGUUUUGUAGAUUGUUUUCGUGAUAGUGGCUCUAAGAUAUGCACACAUCGCCCGU
rnacentral:rRNA from 1 species